AGCGGGGCUGCGUCCCUGCCUACGAAAGCGGGUAGGGGCAGGCGCUCCGUUUCCGGUGGCAGGGUCUGGGAAAGGGGCGGCAGGCGCCAUGUCCGGCCGGGAAGGUGGCAAGAAGAAGCCCCUGAAACAGCCCAAGAAGCAGGCCAAGGAGAUGGACGAGGAAGAUAAGGCUUUCAAGCAGAAACAAAAAGAAGAGCAGAAGAAACUCGAAGAGCUAAAAGCAAAGGCCGCGGGGAAGGGGCCCCUGGGAGUCUCCCUCUGUCACCCAAGCUGGAGUGCAGCGGCGCG